rnacentral:rRNA from 2 species
UGGCUCAGAACGAACGCUGGCGGCAGGCCUAACACAUGCAAGUCGAGCGCCGUAGCAAUACGGAGCGGCAGACGGGAGAGUAACACGUGGGAACGUACCCUUUGGUUCGGAACAACCCAGGGAAACUUGGGCUAAUACCGGAUAAGCCCUUACGGGGAAAGAUUUAUCGCCGAAAGAUCGGCCCGCGUCUGAUUAGCUAGUUGGUGAGGUAAUGGCUCACCAAGGCGAGGAUCAGUAGCUGGUCUGAGAGGAUGAUCAGCCACAUUGGGACUUUUUCUCGGCCCAGAGAACUACGGGAGGC